CCUACGGGGGGCAGCAGUGAGGAAUAUUGGUCAAUGGGCGUAAGCCUGAACCAGCCAAGUCGCGUGAGGGAUGAAGGUUCUAUGGAUCGUAAACCUCUUUUAUAAGGGAAUAAAGUGUGGGACGUGUCCUGUUUUGUAUGUACCUUAUGAAUAAGGAUCGGCUAACUCCGUGCCAGCAGCCGCGGUAAUACGGAGGAUCCGAGCGUUAUCCGGAUUUAUUGGGUGUAAAGGGUGCGUAGGCGGCCUUUUAAGUCAGCGGUGAAAGUCUGUGGCUCAACCAUAGAAUUGCCGUUGAAACUGGGAGGCUUGAGUAUGUUUGAGGCAGGCGGAAUGCGUGGUGUAGCGGUGAAAUGCUUAGAUAUCACGCAGAACCCCGAUUGCGAAGGCAGCCUGCCAAGCCAUGACUGACGCCGAUGCACGAAAGCGUGGGGAUCAAACAGGAUUAGAUACCCCAGUAGUC
rnacentral:rRNA from 1 species